GGACAAGUGGGUGAGUGGCUGAAACCACACCCCUGCUAAGGGUGCGUCUCUUUACGGGGACCGAGAGUUCGAAUCUCUCCUUGUCCGCCA
rnacentral:tRNA from 6 species